AACAUUUUAGGCUAUGUUCAAUCUGCUUUUGAGCUCCUCCACCAUUUUUGCCCUUGGAACUACAUAUUCUUGGCUGGCUUCAAUGUCUUUUAAAUUCACCACGCCUGAACUGAUUUCCGACUCGCCCAUAAUGACCAUCCAAGGGAUACCAGAUUGCUUGGCACGAUUAAUAUGGUUCAUCACCCUCUUAGUUAGCCCAAAUUCUGCUGAUAUACCUGCAUCCCAUAGUUCACCUACCAGCUCUGCUGCCAA
rnacentral:misc_RNA from 1 species